rnacentral:tRNA from 1 species
AGUAGGAUAAACUAUUGGUAAGUUACUAGACUCAUGAUCUAGGUAAGAAAGUUCAAAUCUUUCUCCUGCAA